rnacentral:rRNA from 1 species
CCUACGGGGGGCAGCAGUCGAGAAUCAUUCACAAUGGGGGAAACCCUGAUGGUGCGACGCCGCGUGGGGGAAUGAAGGUCUUCGGAUUGUAAACCCCUGUCAUGUGGGAGCAAAUUAAAAAGAUAGUACCACAAGAGGAAGAGACGGCUAACUCGGUGCCAGCAGCCGCGGUAAUACCGAGGUCUCAAGCGUUGUUCGGAAUCACUGGGCGUAAAGCGUGCGUAGGCUGUUUCGUAAGUCGUGUGUGAAAGGCGCGGGCUCAACCCGCGGACGGCACAUGAUACUGCGAGACUAGAGUAAGGGAGGGGGAACCGGAAUUCUCGGUGUAGCAGUGAAAUGCGUAGAUAUCGAGAGGAACACUCGUGGCGAAGGCGGGUUCCUGGACAUUAACUGACGCUGAGGCACGAAGGCCAGGGGAGCGAAAGGGAUUAGAUACCCUAGUAGUC